CCACGCCGUAAACGAUGUCGAUUAGGAGCUUGAACUUCGGUUUGGGUUCCGCAGCUAACGCGAUAAAUCGACCGCCUGGGGAGUACGGCCGCAAGGUUAAAACUCAAAUGAAUUGACGGGGGCCCGCACAAGCGGUGGAGCAUGUGGUUUAAUUCGAAGCAACGCGAAGAACCUUACCUGACCUUGACAUCGUAGGGAUUGAGCAGAGAUGUUCAAGUGCCUUCGGGAACCUACAGACAGGUGCUGCAUGGCUGU
rnacentral:rRNA from 1 species